UGCCAGACUCCUACGGGAGGCAGCAGUGGGGAAUAUUGCACAAUGGGGGGAACCCUGAUGCAGCGACGCCGCGUGGGUGAAGGAACACCUCGGUGCGUAAAGCCCUAUCGGCAGGGAAGAAACAGACGGUACCUGACUAAGAAGCCCCGGCUAACUACGUGCCAGCAGCCGCGGUAAUACGUAGGGGGCAAGCGUUAUCCGGAUUCACUGGGUGUAAAGGGAGCGUAGACGGCGACGCAAGUCUGGAGUGAAAGCCCGGGGCCCAACCCCGGGACUGCUCUGGAAACUGCGUCGCUGGAGUACGGGAGGGGCAGGCGGAAUUCCUGGUGUAGCGGUGAAAUGCGUAGAUAUUAGGAGGAACACCAGUGGCGAAGGCGGCCUGCUGGACGACAACUGACGGUGAGGCGCGAAAGCGUGGGGAGCAAACAGGAUUAGAUACCCGUGUAC
rnacentral:rRNA from 1 species